rnacentral:rRNA from 1 species
UAGGGAAUUUUCCACAAUGGACGAAAGUCUGAUGGAGCAACGCCGCGUGCAGGAUGAAGGCCUUCGGGUUGUAAACUGCUUUUAUCUGUGAAGAUUAUGACGGUAGCAGAUGAAUAAGGAUCGGCUAACUCCGUGCCAGCAGCCGCGGUCAUACGGAGGAUCCAAGCGUUAUCCGGAAUUACUGGGCGUAAAGAGUUGCGUAGGCGGCAUAGUAAGCAGAGUGUGAAAUCGUGUGGCUCAACCAUACACCCAUGCUCUGAACUGCUAAGCUAGAGAAUGGAAGAGGUCGCUGGAAUUCCUAGUGUAGGGGUAAAAUCCGUAGAUAUUAGGAAGAACACCGAUGGCGUAGGCAGGCGACUGGUCCAUUUCUGACGCUCAGGCACGAAAGCGUGGGUAGCGAUCG